rnacentral:tRNA from 1 species
GGCCUCGUUGCGCAGCUGUUAGAGCAUGCGCUAUACAAAAGCGUUCCCGGCGUACAUGCGUGGGUUCGAAUCCCACCGAGGCUA